AGAGUUUGAUCAUGGCUCAGGACGAACGCUAGCGGCGCGCUUAACACAUGCAAGUCGAACGCCAACGGUUGACUUCGGUCGGCUUAGUAGCGUGGCGAACGGGUGAGUAACGCGUAGGCAACCUGCCCUUGAGUGGGGGAUAAGCCCGGGAAACCGGGUCUAAUACCGCAUGUUGUUCCGGAAUCGCAUGGUUCUGGAAUUAAAGCCUUCGGGCGCUCAGGGAUGGGCCUGCGUCCUAUUAGCUUGUUGGUGAGGUAACGGCUCACCAAGGCGACGAUGGGUAGUUGGUCUGAGAGGACGAUCAGCCACACUGGGACUGAGAUACGGCCCAGACUCCUACGGGAGGCAGCAGUGAGGAAUCUUGCGCAAUGGGCGAAAGCCUGACGCAGCGACGCCGCGUGUGCGACGAAGCCCUUCGGGGUGUAAAGCACUGUCCAGUGGGAAGAAUGCCCGCUACGGCGGGAGCGACGGUACCACUGUAGAAAGCUCCGGCUAACUCCGUGCCAGCAGCCGCGGUAAUACGGGGGGAGCAAGCGUUGUCCGGAUUUACUGGGCGUAAAGGGCGUGUAGGCGGGACGGUCAGUCGUGGGUGAAAUCUCCAGGCUUAACCUGGAAAUUGCCUCCGAUACUGCCGUUCUUGAGUGCAGGAGAGGGUAGUGGAAUUCCCGGUGUAGCGGUGGAAUGCGCAGAUAUCGGGAGGAACACCAGUGGCGAAGGCGGCUGCCUGGCCUGACACUGACGCUAAGGCGCGAAAGCGUGGGGAGCAAACAGGAUUAGAUACCCUAGUAGUCC
rnacentral:rRNA from 1 species